rnacentral:rRNA from 1 species
UACGUAGGGUGCGAGCGUUGUCCGGAAUUAUUGGGCGUAAAGGGCUCGUAGGCGGUUUGUCGCGUCGGGAGUGAAAACCAGGUGCUUAACACCUGGCUUGCUUUCGAUACGGGCAGACUAGAGGUAUGCAGGGGAGAACGGAAUUCCUGGUGUAGCGGUGGAAUGCGCAGAUAUCAGGAGGAACACCGGUGGCGAAGGCGGUUCUCUGGGCAUGACCUGACGCUGAGGAGCGAAAGCAUGGGGAGCGAACAGG